CACACCUAAUUUUUGUGUUUUUUGUAGCGACAGGGUCUCCCUAGGUUGCCUAAGUUCUUUUUUUUUUUUUUAAGCUCGUCAUAUUUAGCAGUGGGGGGUUAUAUACCAACUUUAGUGACAGUGACAUUAAUAAGUUCUGAUAAUCCACUACCAUGGACACCAGCGAUACAUGGACAGCUGGGAAAGCGUUAUUUCUGGAUGUGUCUGUGAGGGUUUUCAGCAGGAGACUGGCGUGUGAGUUGAUGGACUAAGUGGCAAGUUCCACUCUCAAUGUGGGAGGGCAUGGAGAAGACAAAAAAGUAGGAGAAAGGCAAAUUCAUGCUCUUUCCUGGAGCUGGGACAUCCUUCUCUUACCAUUGGAUAUUAGAACUUCAGGUUCUCAGGCUUUGAACUUGGACUUGGACUUGCACCAGUGGCCAUGAGACAGACCUGAAGUACAGACAGACCUGGACCCCCAGCUUCCACUACCACAGACCUCAAGGGGCCUGCACCAGCACCAGGAGGCUCAUGACCAGGGCCAUGGAGAAGAAGAUGCCCAGGAAGAAGCGGUCCAUCACACGGGCCAGGCGCUUCCAGUCCUCAUGGCAGCGCUGUGCAGCUCGGUGGCUGCGGAAGGUAUUGGCAAUGGUGGCUACAUGGUGCAGUAGGGCUUCCUGGUGGCAUAGACAUCGUGGCUCGUGGCAAGGGCCCGCUGGGGGGCCACCUCCUCCUUUGGGAGACUGGGGGCUAGGGGAUAACUCAGGUGACCUGGACUGCCCACAGGGCUCCCCUCUUUCCUGCACGCACAGGCUCUGUGCCAGGUGUCCCAGCAGGAGGGCCCUAGCCCAGGCUGGCACUGGGCGGGCACUGGGACCACAGUAAUGCAGGUUCAUGAUAAGGAUAGUGAGUGCUGUUGAGAAUGUGACCAUGGUCAUAGUGGCCAUGUAGUACUUCCCUGCAAGAGAGACAGAAAGCCAAUUGGGACUCAAAACAAAAAGCCUGUGGAUCCUGAGCUUCCUAGUCACCUCUACACAAAUGGAAAUAAGCCCACCAUGAGGCUCUCCAGACCCUCCAAGCCCCAUGGAUGGAAGCAGGAAGGAGGUAAGGGCCAAGUUCUCCCCAUCCUUCAUUCCUACACGUGGGUCAUCAGAAGCUACUGCUCCCUAAUUGCUCCCCUCACUGCUGGAAGCUGCACUCAUACACAAUCCAGGACAGUCCUACUCUCAAAUAACGAUGGGCAUGAGCUGGGGCAAGAUACGAAUCCUUUUUGUACAAAUGGGAUAACCAGAGGACCUACUUCCUAGGUUUGUGGUGAUGUUUACCUGAGUUAAUAAAGGUCAAGUGCUUAGGGGAGUGCCUGGCACACAGUGA